rnacentral:rRNA from 1 species
CGUAGGGUGCAAGCGUUAAUCGGAAUUACUGGGCGUAAAGCGUGCGCAGGCGGUCUUGCAAGACAGGUGUGAAAUCCCCCGGGCUUAACCUGGGAACUGCACUUGUGACUGCAAGGCUGGAGUACGGCAGAGGGGGGAUGGAAUUCCGCGUGUAGCAGUGAAAUGCGUAGAUAUGCGGAGGAACACCGAUGGCGAAGGCAAUCCCCUGGGCCUGUACUGACGCUCAUGCACGAAAGCGUGGGGAGCAAACAGGAUUAGAUACCCUGGUAGUCCACGCCCUAAACGAUGUCAACUGGUUGUUGGACGGCUUGCUGUUCAGUAACGUAGCUAACGCGUGAAGUUGACCGCCUGGGGAGUACGGCCGCAAGGUUG